rnacentral:rRNA from 1 species
CCUACGGGAGGCAGCAGUGAGGAAUAUUGGUCAAUGGGCGUAAGCCUGAACCAGCCAAGUCGCGUGAGGGAUGAAGGUUCUAUGGAUCGUAAAGUUCUUUUCUAAGGGAAGAAGAAAGUGACGGUACCUUAGGAAUAAGCCUCGGCUAACUACGUGCCAGCAGCCGCGGUAAUACGUAGGAGGCAAGCGUUAUCCGGAAUGACUGGGCGUAAAGGGUGCGUAGGUGGUUUGACAAGUUGGUAGCGUAACUCCGGGGCUCAACCUCGGCACUACUACCAAAACUGUCGGACUUGAGUGCAGGAGGGGCAAAUGGAAUUCCUAGGGUAGCGGUGGAAUGCGUAGAUAUUAGGAGGAACACCAGUGGCGAAGGCGAUUUGCUGGACUGUAACUGACACUGAGGCACGAAAGCGUGGGGAGCAAACAGGAUUAGAUACCCGGGUAGUC